rnacentral:rRNA from 4 species
AGAUUAAACUGAAGAGUUUGAUCCUGGCUCAGAUUGAACGCUGGCGGCAUGCCUUACACAUGCAAGUCGAACGGCAGCACGGAGCUUGCUCUGGUGGCGAGUGGCGAACGGGUG